rnacentral:rRNA from 1 species
GAGUUUGAUCGUGGCUCAGAUUGAACGCUGGCGGCAUGCCUUACACAUGCAAGUCGAACGGUAACAGGUCUUCGGAUGCUGACGAGUGGCGAACGGGUGAGUAAUACAUCGGAACGUGCCCGAUCGUGGGGGAUAACGAAGCGAAAGCUUUGCUAAUACCGCAUACGAUCUACGGAUGAAGCAGGGACCGCAAGGCCUUGCGCGAACGGAGCGGCCGAUGGCAGAUUAGGUAGUUGGUGGGAUAAAAGACUUACCAAGCCGACGAUCUGUAGCUGGUCUGAGAGGACGACCAGCCACACUGGGACUGAGACACGACCCAGACUCCUACGGGAGGCAGCAGUGGGGAAUUUUGGACAAUGGGCGAAAGCCUGAUCCAGCCAUGCCGCGUGCAGGAUGAAGGCCUUCGGUUGUAACUGCUUUGUACGG